UUUAAAGUCUGACCUGCCCACUGAAAUUUUUUAAAUGGCCGCAGUAUACUAACUGUGCAAAGGUAGCAUAAUCAUUAGUCUUUUAAUUGAAGGCUGGUAUGAAUGGUUGGACGAGAUAUUAACUGUUUCAUAAAAAUUUAUAAUAGAAUUUUAUUUUUUAGUCAAAAAGCUAAAAUAUAUUUAAAAGACGAGAAGACCCUAUAAAUCUUUAUAUCUAGAUUAUUAUAAUUUUAUAGAUUUUUUUUGUUAUAAUAAUUAAUGAUAUUUUAUUGGGGUGAUAUUAAAAUUUAAUAAACUUUUAAUUGUUAAAAUCAUUAAUUUAUGAAUAAUUGAUCCGUUAUUAGCGAUUAAAAAAAUAAGUUACUUUAGGGAUAACAGCGUAAUUUUUUUGGAGAGUUCAUAUCGAUAAAAAAGAUUGCGACCUCGAUGUUGGAUUAAGAUAUAAUUUUAGGUGUAGCCGCUUAAAUUUUAAGUCUGUUCGACUUUUAAAUUCUUACGUGAUCUGAGUUCAGACCGGA
rnacentral:rRNA from 1 species